ACGCUGGCGGCACGCUUAACACAUGCAAGUCGAACGAAGUAGCAAUACUUAGUGGCAGACGGGUGAGUAACAUGUGGGUAUCUGCCCUUUGGCCUGGAAUAACACGAGGAAACUUGUGCUAAUACCGGAUAAGUCUUUACGGAGAAAGCUUUAUGCACCAUUGGAUGAGCCCGCACUUGAUUAGUUUGUUGGUGGGGUAAUGGCCUACCAAGACUGUGAUCAAUAGCUGAUUUGAGGGGAUGAUCAGCCACAUUGGGACUGAGACACGGCCCAAACUCCUACGGGAGGCAGCAGUGGGGAAUCUUGCACAAUGGAGGAAACUCUGAUGCAGCGAUGCCGCGUGAGUGAAGAAGGCCCUUGGGUUGUAAAGCUCUUUCGUCGGGGAAGAAAAUGACUGUACCCGAAUAAGAAGGUCCGGCUAACUUCGUGCCAGCAGCCGCGGUAAUACGAAGGGACCUAGCGUAGUUCGGAAUUACUGGGCUUAAAGAGUUCGUAGGUGGUUGAAAAAGUUAGUGGUGAAAUCCCAGAGCUUAACUCUGGAACUGCCAUUAAAACUUUUCAGCUAGAGUAUGAUAGAGGAAAGCAGAAUUUCUAGUGUAGAGGUGAAAUUCGUAGAUAUUAGAAAGAAUACCAAUUGCGAAGGCAGCUUUCUGGAUCAUUACUGACACUGAGGAACGAAAGCAUGGGUAGCGAAGAGGAUUAGAUACCCUCGUAGUCCAUGCCGUAAACGAUGUGUGUUAGACGUUGGAAAUUUAUUUUCAGUGUCGCAGCGAAAGCGAUAAACACACCGCCUGGGGAGUACGACCGCAAGGUUAAAACUCAAAUGAAUUGACGGGGAUCCGCACAAGUAGUGGAGCAUGUGGUUUAAUUCGAAGAUACGCGCAGAACCUUACCAACACUUGACAUGUUCGUCGCGACUCUAAGAGAUUAGAGUUUUCGGUUCGGCCGGACGAAACACAGGUGCUGCAUGGCUGUCGUCAGCUCGUGUCGUGAGAUGUUGGGUUAAGUCCCGCAACGAGCGCAACCCUCACUUUUAGUUGCCAUCAUUAAGUUGGGCACUCUGAAAGAACUGCCAGUGAUAAGCUGGAGGAAGGUGGGGAUGACGUCAAGUCCUCAUGGCCCUUACGUGUUGGGCUACACACGUGCUACAAUGGUAUCUACAACAGGAAGCAAGACUGCGAGGUCAAGCAAAUCCUUAAAAGAUACCUCAGUUCGGAUUGCACUCUGCAACUCGAGUGCAUGAAGCUGGAAUUACUAGUAAUCGUGGAUCAGCGUGCCACGGUGAAUGCGUUCCCGGGUCUUGUACACACCGCCCGUCACACCAUGGGAGUUGGUUCUACCUUAAGGCAAGGUUUCAAACCCUUGACCACGGUAUAGUCAGCGACUGGGGUG
rnacentral:rRNA from 1 species